GAGAAAAAUUUAAAAAAUCGUAGGUUUCCUUAUCUCUCCCCCCGCCAAGGAGAAAAAUUGGAAUUCCGUCUCAAAAGCAGCAGAGCCGAGAAUGAAAUUCCUCCCUUCCUUCUUUUUUUCCUAGAGCACCCCCCCUCCCCCGCGAGCAGGACCGAGAUGGGAUCCUUACAAGACACCUGACACCGUCCUACCCGGAGAAAAGUCUCCCCGAGAGAAAGAUCAAGACGUUUCUAUCCCCCACACGCCUGGAUGACAACCGAAGCCUUGGCUCUCCAUGCUGGCUCAUGCCCAAAGGACACAACAAGUAGGUACGGCCCGACUCGAGGCUGGUCUCGGUCGCCACCGGAGAGCCAGGGGCGAGCUGCUUAAAAAUGCAUCGGAUGCACCAGAAAGACGAGCACCUCACACGGCAGCCUUCUCUCCCCCGCAGCCAACUAUGCCUUUAACCUCAAAUGCCUUCCGGCGUGCUGAUUCCUCAACUUGGCGAUCCCCCUCCCCGUUCAGUAACGCCCUGCUUAAGGCUGCCUGGACUACAAGUCUUUUUUUUUCUCUCCCCUCCUCGGCUGUAGCUAGCACACCGAAGCAGCAAAAGCUGCACGCAAGCGCGCGCUGAAGCAGCUGCUUGAGCUUUGGAACCUUGUUUCCCCGGGAAAGGCGAGUCACGAGCGCAGAAUGCCCGGGCCGAGGUUGCUGAUUGGUUGGAACUGGGCAAGAAGCGAGGGAAACGGGGAAAAGCCGGCGGGGCUCUCGAGCGCCCUCUACAGGAGAUGAGUGCGCUUGGCUGUCGGAGGAGAGCCGGGAAAGAAGGCCGGAGCGGGAAGGUCGCCGACUCGAAACGCCCGCUUUCGCUGUGUUAGCCU
rnacentral:lncRNA from 1 species